rnacentral:tRNA from 1 species
AACGGGGUAGCUCAGUUGGUAGAGCGAAAGAUUGUGAAUCUAUGGGUCACAGGUUCGAUUCCUGUCCCUG